CUCUCUCUCUCUUUCUCUCUCUCUCUCUCUCUCUCGAUUGGAAGAAGGAGAGCUGCUAGAAGACCUCCUUAUCAUUCAGAUCCAGAUCUAAAUCAGUUCAAGAUCUAGGGAUUUUACUGGAAAGAAAGCUUUUGCACGCAUCAGCAUCUCAGAUAUCCUCUUUCGAGGUUUAGAUCUUUGAUCUGAUGCGAUUGGAGUGAUUGCAACUUCUGCCUUGAGCAAUUUACAUUCUCAUCCUGCAUUUGGAGGCCAGGUAGGUCACAAUCUGCUUCCCACGCUAGAUAAACAAGGGGCAUAUACACCGAUUUCCGUGCAGGCCAGGUAGGUCACAAUUUGCUUCCCACGCUAGAUGAAUUUCAGCUUUUUGUUAUCUUUUCUUACUGAGAUUUGAGCUUCCCUAUCUCUAGAUUAGGUUUUCUCUGCUAUUUUUGGGAGAUUUUGCUAAAUCUGAUAGAUCGAAACGAUCUAAGGUUAGGUUUUGGUGCUUGUAGUGGUUUGAUUUUAUGGUAGAUAUGUUCGUAUAUUUCAUGUUUGGAUUAUGGAUAUCAAUUUUGUUCUAUUGUCUUUUUACUGAAAUGGAGUAGAGGAGAUGCAUUGUUUGGUUAGUAUGUAAGGCGAUCUAGCAUAUCAGUAGCUUUUCUGAUGAUGCAAUGGAAAAUUAUAGAUCUAUUUUCCUUUCAGAUCUCAUUGUUUGGAGUUUUGAUUUUAUUUAUUUAUUUUCUUUCUUUUUCAUUUCAACUAUCUCCACUGUAUUGAAAGGCAAAGGAAAGGCCCUAU